rnacentral:rRNA from 1 species
GACGAACGCUGGCGGCGUGCCUAAUACAUGCAAGUAGAACGCUGAAGGAGGAGCUUGCUCUUCUGGAUGAGUUGCGAACGGGUGAGUAACGCGUAGGUAACCUGCCUGGUAGCGGGGGAUAACUAUUGGAAACGAUAGCUAAUACCGCAUAAGAGUAGAUGUUGCAUGACAUUUGCUUAAAAGGUGCAAUUGCAUCACUACCAGAUGGACCUGCGUUGUAUUAGCUAGUUGGUGAGGUAACGGCUCACCAAGGCAACGAUACAUAGCCGACCUGAGAGGGUGAUCGGCCACACUGGGACUGAGACACGGCCCAGACUCCUACGGGAGGCAGCAGUAGGGAAUCUUCGGCAAUGGACGGAAGUCUGACCGAGCAACGCCGCGUGAGUGAAGAAGGUUUUCGGAUCGUAAAGCUCUGUUGUAAGAGAAG